rnacentral:rRNA from 1 species
AUGUUAUCCGAGAUGAAUCAUAUGGGAGCUGUUGACCCGUUCGACAACGAGGAAGAGGAGCAGCAGCAACCAGAGCUUGCCCAUGUGCACACUCAAGAUCACCAACAAGCUCACAUGCGAGAUCAUGAGCUUGAUGGUGCUGUAGGCGAACGACAUGACAACGGCACAUCCUACCAGCAGCACCAGGAAAGAGUGAUUAAACCACCCAUAUUCUCAAACACAAAGGGGAGGAAGAGCAAGACGCGGGCAGCGAAAGCAGUAGCCAAAAAGCCGCCACGCCCCAUCAAGCGUGUGGAAUUUGGCCCGGACGGAAAACCUCUCGGGAUAAGGGCAUGCGGAUUCUGCAACGUCGUGAGCAACCAUAAGUACUGCACAUGCCCGCUCCGCACAAAUGGCACUGCCAACAAGCACAAGCAGAUUGGAGCCACCCAGGUUUCUACCAAUGGAGACAACACACGCGACAAGCGGAUGCUGAACAGGUCUGGUUUGGAGAUCAACCCCAACAACUUCAUCGACAUGCAGCGCAAGUGGAAAGAUCCACACACCAACAAAUACUUCGACUCCUUGGCCGAUGUUGCAGGCGGCGUCAUCCACCCAUCCUACAAAGGCAUGAAGAAUAAGAUGGACAAGGGAGAACACAAAAAGUGGGGGACCAGCCCGCUGCAAGACAACCUCAUCGCGAACGCAGGAAUAGAUGCGUACGCCACAUACAAGUCAUGGAAGACAAUCGACAACAUUGUGACAGGUUGGGAUAUUUCAGAAGAGCAGGAAGCUGACCCCUACUACCACUGCAACUUCGGGGGAUGA